UGCACUCACUACUGUAAGUCACUCUGGAUAAGAGUGUCUGCUAAAUGUCACAAC
rfam:Salmo salar isolate Sally breed double haploid chromosome ssa22, whole genome shotgun sequence.